GAUUUCCUAAGUAGCGGCGAGCGAACGGGAAAGAGCCCAAACCGGAUUGCGUGCAAUCCGGGGUUCGGACUGCAUACGUCAUUGUAAGAGGAUAACAGAAUGGUUUUGGGAAAGCCAGCCAGAGAGGGUGAAAGCCCCGUACGUGAAAUCUGAUUACAGGCAGCAGGAUCCAGAGUACCACGAGACACGUGGAACCUUGUGGGAACAAGCGGGGACCACCCCGUAAGGCUAAAUACUCCUUAGUGACCGAUAGCGCAUAGUACUGUGAAGGAAAGGUGAAAAGAACCCCGGGAGGGGAGUGAAAGAGAACCUGAAACCCUGUGUUUACAAGCUGUGGAACCACCAUAUGAGUGGAACCGCGUACUUUUUGUAGAACGGUCCGGCGAGUUAUGGUUGCUGGCAAGGUUAAGGACGAAAAGUCCGGAGCCGAAGGGAAACCGAGUCUUAAUAGGGCGCCAAGUCAGCAGACAUAGACCCGAAACCGGGUGACCUACCCAUGUCCAGGUUGAAGCGCUGUAAAAGGCGGUGGAGGACCGAACCCAC
rnacentral:rRNA from 1 species